rnacentral:rRNA from 1 species
UCCGGUGAUGGUAUCGCUUUGGAACCACCUGAUCCCAUCCCGAACUCAGAAGUGAAACAAAGUUGAGCCGAAGGUACUAACGGGAUACCCUGUUGGGAGAAUAGGUAAUUGCCGGUU